GAUUUUACUGUUUUCUAUGUUUCAUUUUUUUUUUUGUAUAUGUGUUUUAUUCUUGGUUUCUGAUGUGAAGCACUGUGGAUACCUGUUGGUUACUGUGAAGCGCUAUAUGAAUAAAUGUUGAUUGAUGUUAAUGAAGCUCACAAAGAGAC